UUGACUUUGUUUUUAUGGGAAGAGAUUUGUCAUGGAUGGGAACCAUCCACAAAGUUCCAAAAGUAAGGAGGAAGCAAAGAAAGACUCAGAAACAAUCCUCUUCAAUUACUACUAUAAGAUUCUUAACCCCGUUUCUUCCAUCUAUUCCAGUGAUUUCCUUAUGUGACGGUCUGAUAUUGAGGCAAGCACAAACUAACAGACCAAUGUUACAAAACAGUGAGUGCAGAGGUAGAAAGACAUAGAUACACAUGCAUGCAUGUACAUGCACACAUAUGUUUGAUCACUUGAUUUACAAGAAAGAGUGCACUUUAUGGCAAUGAAAGAAUAAUGUUAUUUUUAUUAAAUAGUGCCAGGCCCAUUGAACACCCUUAUGGAGUUAAUCAGUGAACCUUAUCUCUGCUUAGUCUCUACAGAUGAUUGCAGCUCUAAGUGAGACAGAUGCAAUAGUGAAAGACUUAAGAUAAAAUAGAAGUAUAUCUUAACUUGAGUGGGGGAAAUCUAUUUUCUAUUAUAAAAAGCAAUAACUAUUGAAGAUUGAUAAAUUCAACUUUUUAACAUUUGUAACAUGUGUUCCUCCUAUAUGCCAUGGGAACAAGAAAAAAACCAUUUAAUUGGGAAAUGUUGUGAACUUCUACAAAUCCAAAAGAAUACAAUUGAAUGCUCUCACCAUCAAUCCAUCAUUAACAGAAUAUUUUAGAAGCAUCUCACAAAAUAAGUUAUAAAAUGGCCAAUAAUAUAUAUAUACUCAAAAUUAAUAGUCAUAAAAAUACAAAUUAAAUGAAAUAUGGCAUUCAUCAUUUAAAAGAACUAUGACACAAAUUUUAAUUAAAAACUCAAUCAGGAUUUAGAAAGGAGGCAAAGUAAUUGUGCUUAUAUACACUAAAAUAGAGUGUCGGGUGCUAUAAUCACUUUGGACAAUGAUUGACUCUAAUUAGGAAAAUAGAACAGACUUUGUGACCCACAGUGCUAAAAUAUCCCAUGGCCACUAAUAAUAGAAUAGAUACAUUUUUAAAUUUCUGCACUGAAAUAUUAUGCAAAUAAAAAUGACCAAACUACUGCAACAAUAAAUAAUAUGUUUAUGUCUCUCAGAAAAAUGAGCAAAUGAAUUCAGACACAAAAUCAUAUUCAGUGUGAUUUGUCCUUUAUAACAAGUUCAAAAACUGACAGAUCUAAUAAAUAGUGACAGAAACUUGAACAAUUUGGGGACAGGAAAUGACAUGAUCCAGGCUUCUGAAGUGCAAAUGAUAUUUUAUAUCUUGAGCUAUAGAUUGGUUACUAGAGUAUUUUCACACUGGAAAACUUCAUUGAAUGUAUACUAAUGAUUCAUGUAGUUUUCUGUAGAUAUGUUAUGCUUCAAUAGUUUGCUUAAUGAAUUCAUGUGGGGCUCCUGGAUGGCUGAAUGGGUUGAGUAUCUACCUUCAACUCAGCUUAUGAUCCCAGGGUCCCAGGAUUGAGCCCUAUAUUGGCCUCCUUGCUCAGUGGAGAGUCUGCUUCUCCCUCCCCCUGUGCUUCUACUUCUGCUCAUUCUCUUUCUCUCUCUCACUCUCUCAAAUAAAUAAAUAAAUAAAUAAAUAAAUAAAUAAAUAAAUACAAAUCUUAAAAAAAUAAAUUCAUAAGAUAAAACUAAAUCAGAAUUUAGAUAAAAUUACUUUCUAUAAAUUUAACAGGAAUCAAGUAAGUUUACAAAUUGAUAAAUUGAGCCAUCAGUGUAGAGAACUGGGGGUAAAAAGAGCAUCUCAGGAAACCCAAAAUAAGGAGAAAAAUGACAUUAAAGAAAAGGCAGAAUAAUAGGGUAAUUCUAUAUUUAACUUUUUGAGGAAGCUCCAUACUGUUUUCCACAACGUGUGUGCCACUCUGCAUUUCCACCAACAGUUUAACAGGGUGACCCUUUCUCCACAUCCCUGCCAAUACCUGUUGUUUCUGGUCUUGUUGAUUUGAGCCAUUUUGACAGGUGUGAGGGGAUAGCUCAUUGUAGUUUUGAUUCAGAUGUCCCUUAUGGUCAGUGAUCACGAUCACUUCUUGUGUCUGUUGGCUACCUGUGUGUCUUCUCCAGAAAAAUGGCUAUUCAUAAGUUCAGCCCAUGUUUUAAUUGGAUUAUUCAUUUUUGCGGUGUUGAGUUUUAUAAGUUCUUUUUAUAUUUUGAAUGUGAACCCUUUAUCAGAUAUGUCAUUUGCAAAUAUCUUCUCCCAUUCCAUAGGUUCCAUUUCAGUUUUGUUGAUUAUUUCCUUCACCGUGCA
rnacentral:lncRNA from 1 species